rnacentral:rRNA from 1 species
UACGUAGGGGGCAAGCGUUGUCCGGAAUCAUUGGGCGUAAAGAGCGUGUAGGCGGCCUGGUAAGUCCGCUGUGAAAGUCCAGGGCUCAACCCUGGAAUGCCGGUGGAAACUGUCAGGCUCGAGUCCGGAAGAGGCGAGUGGAAUUCCUGGUGUAGCGGUGAAAUGCGCAGAUAUCAAGGAGGAACACCAAUGGCGAAGGCAGCUCGCUGGGACGGUACUGACGCUGAGGAACGAAAGCCAGGUAGCGAACGGG